GACGAACGCUGGCGGCGUGCCUAAUACAUGCAAGUAGAACGCUGAAGGAGGAGCUUGCUUCUCUGGAUGAGUUGCGAACGGGUGAGUAACGCGUAGGUAACCUGCCUGGUAGCGGGGGGUAACUAUUGGAAACGAUAGCUAAUACCGCAUAACAGUAGAUAUCGCAUGAUAUCUACUUGAAAGGUGCAAUUGCAUCACUACCAGAUGGACCUGCGUUGUAUUAGCUAGUUGGUGAGGUAACGGCUCACCAAGGCGACGAUACAUAGCCGACCUGAGAGGGGGAUCGGCCACACUGGGACUGCGACACGGCCCAGACUCCUACGGGAGGCAGCAGUAGGGAAUCUUCGGCAAUAGACGGAAGUCUGACCGAGCAACGCCGCGUGAGUGAAGAAGGUUUUCGGAUCGUAAAGCUCUGUUGUAAGAGAAGAACGAGUGUGAGAGUGGAAAGUUCACACUGUGACGGUAUCUUACCAGAAAGGGACGGCUAACUACGUG
rnacentral:rRNA from 1 species